UGGUGGGUAGUUUGACUGGGGCGGUCUCCUCCUAAAGAGUAACGGAGGAGCACGAAGGUUGGCUAAUCCUGGUCGGACAUCAGGAGGUUAGUGCAAUGGCAUAAGCCAGCUUGACUGCGAGCGUGACGGCGCGAGCAGGUGCGAAAGCAGGUCAUAGUGAUCCGGUGGUUCUGAAUGGAAGGGCCAUCGCUCAACGGAUAAAAGGUACUCCGGGGAUAACAGGCUGAUACCGCCCAAGAGUUCAUAUCGACGGCGGUGUUUGGCACCUCGAUGUCGGCUCAUCACAUCCUGGGGCUGAAGUAGGUCCCAAGGGUAUGGCUGUUCGCCAUUUAAAGUGGUACGCGAGCUGGGUUUAGAACGUCGUGAGACAGUUCGGUCCCUAUCUGCCGUGGGCGCUGGAGAACUGAGGGGGGCUGCUCCUAGUACGAGAGGACCGGAGUGGACGCAUCACUGGUGUUCGGGUUGUCAUGCCAAUGGCACUGCCCGGUAGCUAAAUGCGGAAGAGAUAAGUGCUGAAAGCAUCUAAGCACGAAACUUGCCCCGAGAUGAGUUCUCCCUGACUCCUUGAGAGUCCUGAAGGAACGUUGAAGACGACGACGUUGAUAGGCCGGAUGUGUAAGCGCAGCGAUGCGUUGAGCUAACCGGUACUAAUGAACCGUGAGGCUUAACCUU
rnacentral:rRNA from 2 species